CCUACGGGUGGCUGCAGUGGGGAAUAUUGGGCAAUGGGCGCAAGCCUGACCCAGCAACGCCGCGUGAAGGAAGAAGGCCUUCGGGUCGUAAACCUCUUUUAUCAGGGACGAAACUGAUGAUGGUUCCGUAUGAAGAAGCCACGUCUAACUACGUGCCAGCAGCCGUGGUAAUACGUAGGGGGCAAGCGUUAUCCGGAUUUAUUGGGUGGAAAGGGCGUGUAGGCGGGGCUGCAAGUCAGUUGUGAAACCUCAUGGCUCAACCAUGGAACUGCAUUUGAAACUGUAGAACUAGAGUGAUGGAGAGGAAAGCGGAAUUCCGAGUGUAGCGGUGAAAUGCGUAGAUAUACGGAGGAACACCAGUGGCGAAGGCGGCCUGCUGGACCGUAACUGACGCUGAGGCGCGAAAGCGUGGGGAGCAAACAGGAUUAGAUACCCGAGUAGUC
rnacentral:rRNA from 1 species